rnacentral:rRNA from 1 species
CCUACGGGGGGCAGCAGUGGGGAAUAUUGCACAAUGGGGGAAACCCUGAUGCAGCGAUGCCGCGUGGAGGAAGAAGGUUUUCGGAUUGUAAACUCCUUUUAUCAGGGACGAUAAUGACGGUACCUGAAGAAAAAGCUCCGGCUAACUACGUGCCAGCAGCCGCGGUAAUACGUAGGGAGCGAGCGUUGUCCGGAAUUACUGGGUGUAAAGGGAGCGUAGGCGGGACGGCAAGUCAGAUGUGAAAACUGAGGGCUCAACCUUCAAACUGCAUUUGAAACUGCUGUUCAUGAGUGAAGUAGAGGUAA